GCCUGGCUGGCUCAGGUAGAGCAGGAGACCGUAGAUCUCAGGGUUGUGAGUUCAAGCCCCACGUUGGGUG
rnacentral:tRNA from 1 species